UGCGAAAUUGGUACACACCAGAAAGCACCGGGUCUCGUCUGAUCCCCGAAGUUAAACUGGUGCUGGCGUAGUUAGUACUAUGGUGGGAGACCACAUGGGAAUACUGCAUGUUGUUGGCC
rnacentral:rRNA from 1 species